AUUGUAGCUCAGUGGUGGAGUGAAUCCUUAAUAUGCAUGAGGUCCUGGGUUUAAUUCCCAGUACCACA
rnacentral:tRNA from 1 species